rnacentral:tRNA from 1 species
UAGUAUAGCCAAGCGGACUAAGGCAAAGGACUUUGACUCCUUAAUCGUUGGUUCGAAUCCAACUGCUA